GCUGGGGACCUUGAAAGCUCACAGAGAGGGCAGCCAGGCUCUGCAGUCACCACCUGGGAACAGAGGUCAAAAGACCUGCAGACCCACAACUUUGCCAGGUUCUCAGCGGCAGGAUGCUCUCCUGGACAGGAGCAGGAGGGCAGGGUGCCAUCCUGGAUGUCUAGCGGAGAAGAGGAUGCCAUUUUGGCUAUGGGGGCAGGUUGCUGUCCAGGGUGUGGAGGAGGGCCUGGCUGGCACACUGUUUCCUGUCCAGGCUCCCAAGCAUGAGGUGCAAGAGGCCGAGGGAGCCCCAGGGAGAUGUCCAAGGUCACACUCAGUAGUCACCACCAAGUGUGCUAGGGAAGCCCUCUCCUGACCCUGGAAAUGUGGCUGAAUCUCCAGGGAAGAUGGUUUGGAAAAGUCCUGUCUACAAG
rnacentral:lncRNA from 1 species